CUCCUUCCUCAUCUUCGUAAGACUACCCGCUGAACUUAAGCAUAUCAAUAAGCGGAGGAAAAGAAACCAACAGGGAUUGCCUCAGUAACGGCGAGUGAAGCGGCAAAAGCUCAAAUUUGAAAUCCUCCGGGAAUUGUAAUUUGAAGGUGGGGUUGAAUAGGUCUAGAUACUUUAAGUCCAUUGGAAAAUGGCGCCAUGGAGGGUGAUAGCCCCGUAAAAGUAUUCAAACCUUCUUUUCUUCCCCUCCUAAGAGUCGAGUUGUUUGGGAAUGCAGCUCUAAGUGGGUGGUAAAUUCCAUCUAAAGCUAAAUAUUGGCGAGAGACCGAUAGCGAACAAGUACAGUGAUGGAAAGAUGAAAAGCACUUUGAAAAGAGAGUGAAAAAGUACGUGAAAUUGUUGAAAGGGAAGGGCUUGCAAGCAGACACAACCUCGGUUGGGCCAGCAUCGGAGUGGGGGGAGACAAAAAAGGUUAGGAAUGUAGCUCCCUUUAGAGUAUUAUAUCCUAGCCCUAUAUCUCCCACCCCCUUCCGAGGCCUGCGAU
rnacentral:rRNA from 1 species